rnacentral:rRNA from 1 species
UACGGAGGAUGCGAGCGUUAUCCGGAUUUAUUGGGUUUAAAGGGUGCGUAGACGGUUCUGCAAGUCUGAAGUGAAAGCCCGUGGCUUAACCGCGGAACGGCUUUGGAAACUGUGGAACUGGAGUGCUGGAGAGGCAAGCGGAAUUCCUAGUGUAGCGGUGAAAUGCGUAGAUAUUAGGAGGAACACCAGUGGCGAAGGCGGCUUGCUGGACAGUAACUGACGUUGAGGCUCGAAAGCGUGGGGAGCAAACAGG